GAACGGGUGAGUAACACGUGGGAUAACCUACCUUCUUAGCAGGGGAUCACAUUUGGAAACAGAUGCUUAAUACCGUAUAACAAUGACAAUCCGCAUGGUUGUUAUUUAAAAAGANGGNUACUGCUAUCACUAAGAGAUGGUCCCGCGGUGCAUUAGCUAGUUGGUAAUGUAAUGGCUUACCAAGGCAAUGAUGCAUAGCCGAGUUGAGAGAGUGAUCGGCCACAUUGGGACUGAGACACGGCCCAUACUCCUACGGGAGGCAGCAGUAGGGAAUCUUCCACAAUGGGCGAAAGCCUGAUGGAGCAACGCCGCGUGUGUGAUGAAGGGUUUCGGCUCGUAAAACACUGUUGUAAGAGAAGAAUGACAUUGAGAGUAACUGUUCAAUGUGUGACGGUAUCUUACCAGAAAGGAACGGCUAAAUACGUGCCAGCAGCCGCGGUAAUACGUAUGUUCCAAGCGUUAUCCGGAUUUAUUGGGCGUAAAGCGAGCGCAGACGGUUAUUUAAGUUUGAAGUGAAAGCCCUCAGCUCAACUGAGGAAUUGCUUUGGAAACUGGAUGACUUGAGUGCAGUAGAGGAAAGUGGAACUCCAUGUGUAGCGGUGAAAUGCGUAGAUAUAUGGAAGAACACCAGUGGCGAAGGCGGCUUUCUGGACUGUAACUGACGUUGAGGCUCGAAAGUGUGGGUAGCAAACAGGAUUAGAUACCCUGGUAGUCCACACCGUAAACGAUGAGUGCUAGGUGUUUGAGGGUUUCCGCCCUUAAGUGCCGUAG
rnacentral:rRNA from 1 species